UCUAAAGUUUGUUAAUUCAAGGAGACAACAGUUUCAACAAACCUGUAAUACUUAGCUACGGUUUUUAACUCACAAUUAAUUUUGUAACAACAAGCUUUAUGAUGUGUUUUUAUUUGAAGUGACAUUGAAUUUCGUGAAUUCCAAGUAAAUUAAGUCUAUUGUUGCAAGACUAUGAAAGUUAUUGGUUCGAAUCCAAUCCAUCUUUAAAAGGUGGUAGUUCAAAUUAAAGAACAACAGGGUGUGCAGUAAUUAGUUUCAUACUGCAACAAACAAUAAUCCAAAUCAAUUCAAAAUUUGUAAUUCAUUCAGUAAUACACUUUUGUAACCACAUCAUCAAGUUCUAUCCAAGCCAGUACCGGUAAGUAACGAUAUGGAGGAGAUUCUUAUUUAUCUUUUGCUGCUUUUUUAAAAUGGAAACAAAUCAGAAAUUUAAGCUCUUCGAAUUUUUCUACCGUGAUUAAUUAAAAGUUAAGGCUCUUUACAUUGCUUUUUAAUGGUUCGACAACGAAGAUUUGAACAGCCAGAUUUGAAUAGUAAAGUUGUUGGGUUUUGACAAGGUUUAAAAUGUUCUCCUUAUGACAUUUUUGACUUCUAAGGGCUUUGUUUUUACAACAUACUCACUAUAAAAAACGGACAAUAUAUCGAUAUUAUGUCCAUAUGCACUGCAAUGAACGGGCUUCUAAAUAUUGACAUAUUGACCAUAUGUAUGAAAAAUGGAUAUAUUGAUGAUUUUUUCAGGAAAUCCGAGAAUCCAUAUAAUAUAGAGACCUGGUGACUAUGUCAGGACGGAGCGCAUCGCUGCUGCUUAGGGGGCCACCAAUCCAUACUGUGUAUUUUACCGUGGUCACUCACAAACAGAGUUGUUUGCCAUGGUAUAGACAACCGCAAAAAACUAAAUUGUUUAAAAAGGAUAACUACCAUAACACAAGAACUCACAGUAUAGUACUAAAUUUGCACAAAGUAAAAGGCUAAGAGUAUAAAAUAUCAAUUGUUUAAUAACAUUCUAUGAAGUAUUCUAUAAUGGAAAAUCAUUUGAGACUUACGUAAUCAGCAUGAGAUAGUUUGUUGGGAAAGGUUGCUGAAUAUUGU